rnacentral:rRNA from 1 species
GACGAACGCUGGCGGCGUGCUUAACACAUGCCAGUCGAACGGAAAGGCCCUGCUUGCAGGGUACUCGAGUGGCGAACGGGUGAGUAACACGUGGGUGAUCUGCCCUGCACUUCGGGAUAAGCCUGGGAAACUGGGUCUAAUACCGGAUAGGAGCCAUUUUUAGUGUGAUGGUUGGAAAGUUUUUUCGGUGUAGGACGAGCUCGCGGCCUAUCAGCUUGUUGGUGGGGUAAUGGCCUACCAAGGCGGCGACGGGUAGCCGGCCUGAGAGGGUGGACGGCCACAUUGGGACUGGGAUACGGCCCAGACUCCUACGGGAGGCAGCAGUGGGGAAUAUUGCACAAUGGGCGCAAGCCUGAUGCAGCGACGCCGCGUGGGGGAUGACGGCCUUCGGGUUGGAAACUCCUUUCGCUAGGGACGAAGCUUUUUGUGACGGUACCUAGAUAAGAAGCACCGGCUAACUACGUG